UAAUACGUAGGCAGCGAGCGUUGUUCGGAGUUACUGGGCGUAAAGAGUGCGUAGGUGGCUCUCUAAGUUUGGUGUGAAAUCUCCCGGCUCAACUGGGAGGGUGCGCCGAAAACUGGAGGACUAGAGUGUGGGAGAGGAAAGCGGAAUUCCUGGUGUAGCGGUGAAAUGCGUAGAUAUCAGGAGGAACACCUGCGGUGUAGACGGCUUUCUGGACCACUACUGACACUGAGGCACGAAAGCGUGGGGAGCAAACAGGAUUAGAUACCCUGGUAGUCCACGCCCUAAACGAUGCACACUUGGUGUGAGCCAUUCAUUUGGUUCGUGCCGGAGCUAACGCGUUAAGUGUGCCGCCUGGGGAGUACGGUCGCAAGGCUG
rnacentral:rRNA from 1 species